ACUAAUAUCUGAAAGGUGAAACGUUUUUAUCAUGUAAAUAAGCGAUUUUAUUCUAGUAUGGUAACGUUAGUUUAAACUCUUGUUAUGAAGUUUUGGUAUGCCGCUUAGCGGAUUAGCAAGCGGCCCACCACUACCUUACCAUUGCUUCCAACUGUAGCUAGCUUUAUUAGUAACAAUUAGCUUAGCUAGAUAGCUAAUGUUAGGCUAGUUUACACACCUGGUUUUAUUAGAGACAGAGUGGCGUUAGCUACUCAUUGUUUCUCUUCUAAUCCACUAAGUUAUAGCUUUAAAUACUGUAGAAAAAACAACGCUUACAACCGUCCUUCAUACAAUUGAGUCGAAAGUAGGUUAAUUUAGCGCUUUUUAGCUAGUUAGCUAAACUAGCGUUAGCUAGCUAACGUUAACUGACAAACUAUGUCUUAGACGACAGUGUUGGUGAAGCAUUAACGAUACUAAUAUCUGAAACCCCAAACGAAGUGUAAAAAGCUAUUUUAAUUAGUUUAUUGUUUUAUUGUUUAUUGUUUUAUUUAGUUUAACUCUUGUUAGGAUGUUUUCUGUGGGUUUUGCGUAACGUUAGCAAAUUAGCAAGGAGCUAGCAUUUCUAUACCAAUGAUAAGCAUAUAAUGCAUAUGGAAGGCACCAGUAGAUGGGGAACAUGAACAGCGAUUUUGAAGAUGGCAUUCUUGAAGACAACUCACUAGGAGCUCUGAGUGACGUUUGGGAUGAAGAGCUGAGUGAUGACCUUUUGCGUAGCGAUGAAGAAGACCUAACUACCAGUGAUGUGGCCUCACAUCUGGGAUGUGAACAAGAGGUUGGAGCCCCUCAUCAUGCUGAGGAACCUAGAAGAUGCACUGGGGAGCAGCAGCAGCAGCAGCAGCCAGGAGAGAAACCGGACCAUGGUGAAGUUUUCGACAUCCCAAUCAAUGACCCUGAUGAAUUUCAAGAACUGACCAGAGAGACAGUUAGACCUCAGCAGCAGAAACAGCAGCAGAGGGAGGAAGAGGAGGAGGAGGAGAACUCCAGAGAUGAAGAAGAAAGCAGCAGUUUACAAGCUUCUGCUGCUGAUACUGUGAUCCACUCAUCAAGUGCAGCCAGUGAAGAGAAGAUCUUAACUGAAGCACUGGGGCUUUGUGAAGAGGCCAGACCAGCAUUUUGGGGACGUUUGAAUAAACAUGAAGGUCUUGCAAGAGAAAGAAGUGGAACACAGAUGGACACGCAGUUUCAUCCCUGCAAUGGAUGCCCUGGUCAAAAAGCCCAAAGGGAAUUUUGUCUCCAAAGCGAUGCUGUUUGCAGCCAAAGCUCUGUCUCCUCUCUACCUCCUCUCCUGAUGGAGCUGCAGUCUACAGGAGCAUCCCCCCAGCAAGUGCCCUUGACGUCUACACAAAGCCCAUCCAAUCCUGCUGUGGAUCCCUCGAGCCUCCAAGAGGGGCUUAGCGGCGAGUGCGAUGUGAAGUCAUGGGUUUAGAUCCCCCAAUAUGGACCCCGGCAGAAAGCAAACAGAAAUAUUUCCACUUUUGCCAAGAUUAUGUUUUUUUUAUGCACUGGCUUUUGUAGGGCGUGAAAUGUUCUCCUGUUGAAGGAACGACUUGUUCCUGCCCUCAGACAUU
ensembl:lncRNA